rnacentral:rRNA from 1 species
CCUACGGGCGGCUGCAGUGGGGAAUAUUGGACAAUGGGCGCAAGCCUGAUCCAGCCAUGCCGCGUGAGUGAUGAAGGCCCUAGGGUUGUAAAGCUCUUUCGCCAGGGACGAUAAUGACGGUACCUGGAUAAGAAGCCCCGGCUAACUUCGUGCCAGCAGCCGCGGUAAUACGAAGGGGGCUAGCGUUGUUCGGAAUCACUGGGCGUAAAGCGCACGUAGGCGGAUCUUUAAGUCAGGGGUGAAAUCCCGGGGCUCAACCUCGGAACUGCCUUUGAUACUGGAGGUCUCGAGUCCGGGAGAGGUGAGUGGACCUGCGAGUGUAGAGGUGAAAUUCGUAGAUAUUCGCAAGAACACCAGUGGCGAAGGCGGCUCACUGGCCCGGUACUGACGCUGAGGUGCGAAAGCGUGGGGAGCAAACAGGAUUAGAUACCCUUGUAGUCCC